UACGGGGGGGGCAAGCGUUGUUCGGAAUUACUGGGCGUAAAGGGCUCGUAGGCGGCCAACUAAGUCAGACGUGAAAUCCCUCGGCUUAACUGGGGAACUGCGUCUGAUACUGGAUGGCUUGGAUUCGGGAGAGGAAUGCGGAAUUCCAGGUGUAGCGGUGAAAUGCGUAGAUAUCUGGAGGAACACCGGUGGCGAAGGCGGCAUUCUGGACCGAUAUUGACGCUGAGGAGCGAAAGCCAGGGGAGCAAACGGG
rnacentral:rRNA from 1 species